AUGACUGUAAACAGAGGAGGUGGAGGGGAGAUUAGCAUUACCAUAAGAAUGCCUGUGUCGAGCUGUUGUCAUGGUGGUCUAGGAAAUGGCAUCCAUGCGGACUCGGUCCUCGACAUGACGCUGACUCGCUUGGAUCUUAGGCCAGCAGUCUUACACCAACCUGAAUAUCACGGAAGAGGUGUGCACCUCUACAUCACCAUUCUGAAUCCAUGCAGUGAUAAAGCACCUGCAGCGUGGAGGUCCGGCGCCUGUGCGGCGCGUGGGCGCGGCGGCCCGGGCUACGCGUGGACGAGGCGGGGCGGGGGCGGCCCGUUUGGCGCGUCCAUGGGGAGAGCCCGCGGCCCGUGCGGCUUGGCUGGGCGCGGCGUCCCGUGGACGGGGCGGCCCGGGCGGCGCAUGGACGGGGUGGGGAGGGGGCGGCCUGAGCGCCUGGAGCGUGGGCACGGCGGUCCGGCGGCGCGGAGGCACAGGGCGAGGGCGUUUUCUGGCCGGGAGGAUACGGGGAAGAGGUGGGGCGGUGGCAAAACUGCCCCGAGGGCGUGGUCGCGGGAGGUCUUACGUUGUUUUUUUACGGGAGGUGUUUCUGAGGAUGUUAACCCAAUGGCAUGGUGGGUGUCGACUGCAUCACAUGCUGAGGAAGUUGGAAUCCGAGUAGGUGAUAUUAUUCAGCGGAUUAAUGGAGAACUCACUUCUACCACAACUGAGUUGGAAAACAAGUUGCUGGGCAUAUGUAGGGGCAAUUUUGAUAGAGGAACUGACAUUAAUGACAAAGUGGAUGUUUCUGUACGGGUAUUUCACACGGCCAACCGUGUCUGGAGAACACAACAUUUAAGUGUAAAUGUAUCUGACUGCCGAGAAGUUGUUGACCGAGCUUAUUAUCCUAUAACAAAUAGAGAAGAGUUUUCUGAUCCGGUGUCACCUGAACAAGUUGACUCUGACUCUGACUCAGAGUCGAACUUGAGCCGCUUCAUGUGA
rnacentral:rRNA from 1 species